rnacentral:tRNA from 2 species
GACCCGGUAGCUCAGCCGGUAGAGCAGCGGCCUUUUAAGCCGUAGGUCGUGGGUUCGAGCCCCACCCGGGUCA